UCAACUUAAUACUGAAAUGAUUUAAAAGUGUGCCUGGGGGAAGUCGGUGUAAAUCCGACGCUGUCCCGCAACCGUAAGAGAUUAAAAAUCUUAAGUCGGAUUACCCAACACAACUUAGUUAUUUACC
rnacentral:ncRNA from 22 species